rnacentral:rRNA from 1 species
AUUGAACGCUGGCGGCAGGCCUAACACAUGCAAGUCGAACGGUAACAGGAAGCAGCUUGCUGCUUCGCUGACGAGUGGCGGACGGGUGAGUAAUGUCUGGGAAGCUGCCUGAUGGAGGGGGAUAACUACUGGAAACGGUAGCUAAUACCGCAUAAUGUCGCAAGACCAAAGAGGGGGACCUUCGGGCCUCUUGCCAUCGGAUGUGCCCAGAUGGGAUUAGCUUGUUGGUGGGGUAACGGCUCACCAAGGCGACGAUCCCUAGCUGGUCUGAGAGGAUGACCAGCCACACUGGAACUGAGACACGGUCCAGACUCCUACGGGAGGCAGCAGUGGGGAAUAUUGCACAAUGGGCGCAAGCCUGAUGCAGCCAUGUCGCGUGUAUGAAGAAGGCCUUCGGGUUGUAAAGUACUUUCAGCGGGGAGGAAGGGAGUAAAGUUAAUACCUUUGCUCAUUGACGUUACCCGCAGAAGAAGCACCGGCUAACUCCGUG